GUGACAAGAGGCUGAAUUCUCAGUCACCAUACCAAAGUGCUUCUAAUGAUUCCAGAGGAAACAACUGAAACUCGAUGGCUCUGUGGAGGUGAUUUAUAAUUUGCAUCUGGUUUCAAAGCAUACAGUAUAUCCCUUCUACUACCGAUUUCCAACUCCAUUCUUUUCCCUGAAUAACAAAAUGUAUAUUUUAGCAUUGUUGCUUUUAUAUAAAAAAUCCAACUGAUGGAAUGUGUAUAUUUCGUGAGCUCUAAAUGCAUUUUUACGCUAUGUCAAGAUCACUGUCUUAUUUCCUUGGUGCUCGUCCCAAGGUUCUGUAUCUCAGGGACAAGGGCCCAGUAUUUACCAGUGUUGUUUUCUUUUGUAAAUACAGAUUUCUUUUUCCAUUUUAAAAUCAGUGUAUAAAUUAAAAAAAAGAGAGAUCAGGAGAGACAUUUACAGGGCUGUUGUCACCAACGGACAGGACCGGCAUCAGUAAAGCACCCACAAGUGAUAUUAAGUGGCAGAAUAUUAAAUGUGACGAGUUCCAGGGACUGUGCAUAGUGCCAAAAGAAUGCAUUUGCUGGUAUCACAAUUGAGCAGGAAAGGGGCCCUCCUUCCAGUCUGCAGGAUAUUAAAAACCUG
rnacentral:lncRNA from 1 species